GUUUAGAUCAACAGGUUUGGGCC
rnacentral:miRNA from 1 species